ACGCACGCUGGCGGCGUGCUUCACCCAUGCAAGUCGCACGGAAAGGCCCUGCUUUUGUGGGGUGCUCGAGUGGCGAACGGGUGAGUAACACGUGAGUAACCUGCCCUUGACUUUGGGAUAACUUCAGGAAACUGGGGCUAAUACCGGAUAGGAGCUCCUGCUGCAUGGUGGGGGUUGGAAAGUUUCGGCGGUUGGGGAUGGACUCGCGGCUUAUCAGCUUGUUGGUGGGGUAGUGGCUUACCAAGGCUUUGACGGGUAGCCGGCCUGAGAGGGUGACCGGCCACAUUGGGACUGAGAUACGGCCCAGACUCCUACGGGAGGCGGCAGUGGGGAAUAUUGCACAAUGGGCGGAAGCCUGAUGCAGCAACGCCGCGUGCGGGAUGACGGCCUUCGGGUUGUAAACCGCUUUCGCCUGUGACGAAGCGUGAGUGACGGUAAUGGGUAAAGAAGCACCGGCUAACUACGUG
rnacentral:rRNA from 1 species